GAGGCAGCGCGCGGGCCGCCAUGGGCAUUCAGGGUAUGGAGCUGUGCGCCAUGGCCGUGGUGGUGCUGCUGUUCAUCGCGGUGCUCAAGCAGUUCGGUAUCCUGGAGCCCAUGUCCAUGGAAGACAGCAGCGACAGUGAGCUGGAGCUGUCCACAGUGCGUCACCAGCCAGAGGGGCUGGAGCAGCUGCAGGCACAGACUAAGUUCACCAAGAAGGAGCUGCAGUCCCUCUACAGGGGUUUCAAGAACGAGUGUCCCUCGGGCCUGGUGGAUGAAGACACCUUCAAACUCAUUUACGCACAGUUCUUCCCUCAGGGAGAUGCCACCACCUACGCGCACUUCCUCUUCAACGCCUUCGAUGCUGAUGGGAAUGGGGCCAUCCACUUUGAGGUAGGUCCCUGCCGUCCCUGCAGCCUGCCCUGGUGCCACGUCUUCUGGCUAUCCAGAGGGGCAGACGUGAUCCUGGAGGACAUGGCCCAGCGUAUCCCCCGGGGAAUGAGUGGACUGUGCUUGGCUGGCCCAGGCCUAACCAAUGUCACUGGAAUUUGGUUUUGUUCAUCAGUUACCCUAUUCCCAGCCUUGUCUUCCAUUCCAGCCCCGCUGAACCCAGGGAGCCACCGAGGCACCCUAAGGUGGUUGCCACCCAGCGUGAAUAUGCAUUUAGAAAGGGGGCAAGGCCUCACUCCGGGGUCUGUGCUGACGGUGGGUUUUGGGCACCCAGCAACCAAAUUCACCCCCUUGCCAGAAAACAGAGCACCCAGCUCAAGCAGGCUCCCGCCGUCCCGGCCAGACACUGAGUGAGCCUCCCACGAAGGCCCCCCAGCUCUAUGUGGGUGGCUGUAGGUCCCACCCAGGCCCAGCCGCCAGAUCAUUUGAAGGAGGCCCCUCUAUGGAGCCCCUAAAAAUAGCAGCAGGUGAAAAGCUGAAACCUCUUUUAGGAAGAAAGCUCUGCUGAGAGCUAGGCAUGAUCAAUAACCACUUGGUGCAAGGGCCAAGGGCGGUGACAGGAAAGCCACAGGGCCAGCAGGCUGUUCAGAAAGCCCCUGGACCAGCCUGGGGGAUAAUAAUAUCUCAAUCAUUUGGCCUAACACUGCUCUGUUCCUUUUACGGCCGCCAGCGCAGCCGGCAGCACACUGACACUCACUGAGGCCACCAACCUGCUCUCCGGCUCACUGACCACAGGGCCCCACCCUGUCCGGCCACGCUCUUAGGGCUUGUGCACAUGUGAAUAUGCAGUGUUUUCAUCUUUAUUCUCAGUGACACCUGCAUGUCGUAAAAAUCCAAUUAGUACACAGGAGUAAACAGGGAAAAUGCAUUGUCCCCCGGCCCCUCCCCUGUGACCAGUUCCUGCAGAUCCUUCAGGAGGCACCUGAGGCGUCCAGGAGUGAAGUGCGGGGAGGACCUGAGUGUGACGGACCCACCAGGGCAUUGUGCAGUUAUAGGGACCAUCCAAGCAGCAGCCCCCUUCCCGUUGCUUACGGCUGGGAAGGACCCCGACAGGAUGGGAGCAACACUCGGCCCCUGGGCCUCAGGCUCAGUGAGCUCUGAAGACAGAAGCUCAGGUGGCUGAUGGGUAUUUACAGUGACUCCAGUCCUGCAUCUCCUUGAGAGACAAGACACGUGUUAAUGGAAGUUUAUUGUGUUGGUAAAAUGUGAUCACUUCCUUGCCUUCAUCCAAAGGCUUCCAGGAAGUAAACUGGCAAACCCAGCAAAGCUCAGCACAGCCGCGUGGAGCCUUGGCCCCACGACCCCCUCAGGCCUACCCGCUGCUCUGCAGCUCCCCCUGAGUGCUCUGGGACAUGCCCACCAGAGGGAGCCUGUGCAGGCCUCUGACUGGGACACAGACCACCUGAGUGUGACUUCAACAAGCAGAGAGAAGGCCUGCAACUGUGUCACAGCUUCUGCUCCCACCCUCUGCUGAGUCCUGCUCUGAGCUCCACCUGUGCCCCUCGUGAGCACCCUGCGGUGUUUUAGCCUGGAAACCAAGACCUCUCCAUGUCACAGCAUAACUGCAGGAGCCCCUCACCUUUGCUGGACUCUCCCCAGGGUCAGCCACAAAGCAGAGCUGUGGAUGUGAUGGGCUCUGUACACUUCGGAGCUAAGAGCAGAGUCAAAUACAACCAGCAAUAGUCGCACAUGCCAUUGUGCUCCCUGGGGCUGAAAACUAGCGAGCUGGCUGGACUUGGGGUCCUCUGUGUUUCUUUGAGGAUAGGCCAAUGGCCUUGCAGGGCACAUUCCCACCCACCUCUCCCUAGGCGCCGUCACUGCUAUAACACACACAUGCUCAGAGACACUGGAAGGGGACAUUCCUCAGUCGUGGCUGAGCAUGAGGGCUUCCACUCAGCCCCUCCCCUAGCCUACACGGAAGGGGGUCCUUGCGGGACUCCAUGGCUCUACCUCCCAUGGGGAAAGUGUGCCAGUCCCCAGGGAACAGGGAGUGAUGUGACCUGAGAUGCUCUGACGUCCACUGCUGAGUAAAUCGUGCGGGGGUGAUCUCUGCCUCGACUUGGGCAUGCAGGAAGUAUCACAUGGUUUCUCCUUGAAGUCACGCUUGCAUUCGCUUCACUUGUUACACCCAUGCCUUUGAGAGACCCAUAGAUUCCAGGGUGUGCCUUGGAAAACAGCGCUUAACCACCCACACACACCCAAGGAGGCAACCGCCUUCCCGUUUUAGCCAGUUGUCACUCUUUGUCUCCCCAUCUCCCAGCAGCGAGCCUCUACUUCUCCUCCUGGCUGUCCAGUCUCAGAUGCAAUGGUGAGGACUGGGGCCUCUCAUACAUAAGUUUUUCCCAUCCUCUGGCUUCCAACAGAGCUACAGGAUGCAGAGUGGACAAGGACUCUCGAUCACCCCAAGCAUGUGAAUCUGAGCCCCGCUGAGCUUUGAUGACACUCCCCUCCCUGCAUACAUUUUGAUUCUGCCUGCCGUUGACAAUUGUCUCGAGUUUUCAUUUUCCUCGGGCGGGUCUGUGACCUCAUCAUUCACUCACCCUUCCCCAGUUGUCUGGACCAGCACCCCCCCUGAUGAUGCUUCCCCAGCUUCAUCCUCCAUUGGGACUGAGCACCACCUGUGGAACUCUUCGUCUCUCUCCUGUGUUGCAUCUCCUGGUUCAGGACUCCUGUCACCUCCCUCUUUCUUGCUUUACUCUCUGUUUUCAGGGGCACAGCUGCCAGCAGCUUCCUGGGAAACAGAGAGUAUGUGGGAGGUGACUUUCGAGGCUUUGGACAUCUGGGAAUGUCUUCACUCUGUUCUCUCUCUUGCUUGACGUGUUGGUGGGAGGCGGUGCUCCUUCAGGAUGGUGGCCAUCAUGCCACUGGCUUCCUGCCCCUCGUGUUGCCAUCAAAGGCAAAGCCUGCUGAUCCCUGGCACUGUGUGCGGGACUUGAUUCUGUGUUUCUCUUUGCUUUUGCUUUUUCUCUGGAAGCUUGUAUGAUCCUCUCUUUGCACCCAGGUUUUGGAAAUGUCAUUACGAUACGUGCCUGCAGGUGACACAGUGGGCUGUUUGCAGGCGUUGUGGCUGACACUGAUGACUCAGCAGACCCUGGACACACACACACAGCCUUCCAUUCUAGGAAGGCUUCUCUUCUCGACUCGCUUCCCUCCAUGUCCUCCAUUCUUCUUGGCACUCCUGCUGUCAAGUGGGGGGUCCCUCCAGAGCGGGCCUCUUCACCCCCCUUUCUUGUUCUUGAUUAUUCCCAUUUUAUAGCUUCCUAUUCUUAUUUUAGAGAUGUCAGAUUUCCAGUCUCUGAAUCUAACCAUUUGUGUUGCUUCAAUUUUCCCCCUGGAAUAAUUUUGUUUCUUCCAGAUUGUUUUCCUCUAUUGCCCUUAGUCUUUCUCUUGCAUGGCACAAGCUUCCUCAGACUCAGAAAGCGUAACGUUUGAGCUAGGACUAAGCCUUGUGGUGUGUGGCCCCAUCCCUGUGCGGUCUGCCACCCUCCACCCAGUUCUGAGACAGGCCUUCUCUGUUCCCCUUCUUUCUGAAUAGCCUGGAGGAUCCUGCAGGGCAGGGGGCUCAGCCCACCAGCCUUCGGGAAGUGGAGGGAAAGACUUGCAUCACACCAGCUGUUGUAACACAACAGCUGACAUUUCCAUAUGGAAGCCACUGGAACAUCUCUGUCUUGUCACAUUAGUAUCAGCUACCAUCAGAGGUUUGUCCUGACCCCAGAACUGAGCUCUGUUAGCUUAGCUUCUGAAGCUGGAUGUUUUGAAGCACCCUAACAUCAGUAUCAGCCAACCAUGCCAUCCCUGCCACACGUGCACAUGCACACAUGCUCACACUCACACACAUGCACACUCACAUAUGCAUGCACACUUACACAUGAACUCAUGCACACACAUGAACACAUGCACACCCACACAUACAUACACAUUUACACAUACAACACUCGUGCACAUGUGUGCAUGAAUGCAUGCUCACGCACGCACGUGCUCACACGUACAUUCAUCACAUGUGUGAACGUGCACACAUGCAUAGUUACAUAUGUGCACUCAUGUGCACACAUGAUCACACAUGCACACUCACAUUUGAAUGCAUGCUCGCACAUGCAUACCCUCACAAUGCACUUAUGCGCUCAUAUGUACAUGUGCACACACAUGCAUUCAUCACACGUGUGCACACACACACUAACAUGCACUCAUGCACAUGCACACACAAUGCACUAAUCAUACGUGCGGAAAUGCACACUCACACAUGCAUACAGUCACAUAUGUAUUCUCUUGUGCACACACGAUCACAUGCACACACUUGCAUGAGCACACACGCUCACACAUGCAUGCCCUCAUACAUGCACAUGCGUGCACAACACACAUGCACCUAUCACAUGUGCUCGUCACACAUGUGCACAUGUACCCACUCAUGUGCAUGCAUGUUCACAUGUGUGCACUCGUAUGUGCGUGCAUGCUCACACAUGCAUGCCCUCACACAUGCGCAGACACAUGCAUGUGCACGCACAUGCACAUGUGCACACUCUCACACAUAUACACACACAUGCACACUGCCGACCUGAUGGACACUCUCCCCACUCUGUAUUGGAAACUCUAGAGCUGUGAAUUCAGUGGAAGCAUCACAGGGGACUGAAAAUAAAAUCUGGAUGUCAAAUUGU